GCAGAUACUGAUAUGAAGAAGAACAUUGUGCUGCAAUGUGCACCAUAAUAAGCCACUAGAUUUGGGCCUUGGAUUAAUGGAACGUAGCGUUUUGUUGGCCAAAGUUGAAGAGAUCUGAUGGAAGAAUACUCCGAGGAAGAGGACCGAUAGGUGCGAUACGUACACGAUUGGAGUCCUCGAAGCUCCUCCAGAGAUGUACGCAGCGGAAUAACAAAGAAAAGAUGUUAGAAACCCUAAUUAAAACAAGAGAAUCGAAAUCGAACGGGGAAAAGCCCUAAAAAUGGAGUAAGAACCCUAAACUGACCAAUGAAACCCUAGAAAUGGGGAAAAGCACAAAAUGAACCAAUUAAUUGGUCCAAAACUACUAUUGAACGGUGAAAAAGGAAUAAUGUUCGGUGAAAAGGCUUUUGAUCGGAAGAAAUUAGGUUUCAAUCGGCCAAAACCAUGGGAAAUGAUGAAGAGGAUGAAGAUCAGUGAAGAGAAACGAGCUUACAGUGAUGAGGAGGUGUAGAUUUGUGAAGAAAUUGACAGACCAACGAGGAACUCCUGAGAGAGAGAGCGAUGAAGCUACGCUUGAGAGAAAACCUAAUGUGAGGUUUCUGAGAUAUGGAAAAUGUGAGAAAUGAGCUUCUGUUGAAGGAUGCGAGAAUGAAGUGCAAUGAACGAAGAAAGAGGCUGACGCGUGGAUGUAGGAGGUGUCAGCGAGGGAAUGGUUGACGUCGUACGGUGGCAGCGUCUGGUGAGAGAAAAGCACAAUGGGUAAGUGGAAAAAUGAAAAAAAUGAAGUGUGCUUGGAAGGUGGCUAGAGGGAGUCUUUGGACUCUCUGGCCUUGUGACUUUCAAGAGAGAAUUAUUUUCUGAUUUAGAAAACCAAAUUCUCAUUAAUCUCAAAAGUGAUUAGUACAAGUGAGGAGUUGGAUAUUAUAGUGACCCAUGCUCCUUGCAAGCUACAGUACAGAUACAAUAAAAUGUAAAAAGAUGACUACAUGAGACAGGAUUCCAUCAAGAUCUUUCUUGAGCUUCAUUCUGCGCACAGAGGUUCAAAUUGAUUUUGUGGUUUUCCCCAAUUCUCUCAACCCUCGCUAGGGUUCGUGCAACUUCGAGAAACUUUCAAGAGGGAGCUCCGUGAUGCGCGAUAGAAGGUAAUCAGAGUCUUCUCGGCCCAAAGGAAGCCAACCCAAGAUGUUGAUCGGUCUGAUGAGCUAUGCUGAGCUGGAUUGUCGGUUGAAGAGCGAAGCGACAAAAAGUUUGUUGAAGAUCAAUCGAGAAGCUUUUGAGUUAGUUAUCGGUUCCUUCCCCCUUUCCCCC
rnacentral:lncRNA from 1 species